rnacentral:lncRNA from 1 species
AAAGUUAUAAGUAUUUUUAAACAAUUAAAAAUAUGCACAAAAACAUUUAAUUAAUGAAAAAUAUCAAAAUUAAUCCAAAAAAUAAUUUUAAUUCAGAAAAUGAAAGAGAAAAAUAUUUAAAGAUUUUUGGUGAAAGUCCCAUAUUUUUUGGAUUAAAUGAAAUUAUUAUGAAUAAAAUAAAAUAAAUGGAAUAAACAUAAAUUCAAAAAUUAAAAAGAAAAAAAAAGGGCCAUCAGAUCUCCCUCAUUAAUUGAGGUGGCAGAUCUGAAGGCAAAAAGCGCACAUUCCAC